UCUUUCGUGCUUAUACGAAAACUGCUGGAAGAAAGUUCAGGAAGAGAAUAGCUCUCACGUGCUUUUGCUGGCCUUCUAUUCUGUUUUUGAAUUAGAACUGGCGUGUGCCAUGUGCCUCGGUGUUUUGUCUUUGCAAAGCGAAGUUUACUGCGCAGUAAAGGAAUAUGUUAUAUCGCGCCUUGAAAAACUGCAACGGGGCUUCAGUGAAAGUACUGAUUUUGAUAUCAACGCGCAGGAAACCUUUUUAUUGAUACUUUUCUUGCUUCAACGCGUUCGCUCUGAAGAGCACAAUUUUAUUACUG